CAUGAACCAAGAUCUAACAGUUCUCGGAACCAAGAUCUAACGUCGGAACCAAGAUGAACAUCGGUUCAUUGGAACCAAGAUCUAAAGAGUUCUCCCUUCCUUUACAUUUCUUCUCCGACAAGAAUGAUCUGAAACAGAGGCUGCUGGUUUGCCUAGAAGAGUCCAUUUAUAUUCACAACAUUAAAGACAUGAAGCUGUUGAAGACCCUCCUGGAUAUUCCUGCAAACCCAACAGGUCUAUGUGCUCUCUCUAUCAACCAUUCCAAUUCUUACUUGGCCUAUCCUGGAAGCCUGACUUCAGGGGAGAUUGUGCUUUAUGAUGGAAACUCCCUGAAAACAGUCUGCACUAUUGCUGCCCAUGAGGGAACACUAGCUGCCAUCACCUUCAAUGCCUCAGGCUCCAAACUAGCAAGUGCAUCUGAAAAAGGCACAGUCAUCCGGGUGUUCUCUGUCCCUGAUGGGCAAAAGCUCUAUGAGUUCCGGAGAGGGAUGAAAAGGUAUGUGACAAUCAGCUCUCUAGUGUUCAGUAUGGAUUCACAAUUCCUCUGCGCCUCCAGUAACACCGAGACGGUACACAUCUUCAAGCUGGAACAGGUCACCAACAGUCGACCAGAAGAGCCUUCGACCUGGAGUGGCUACAUGGGAAAGAUGUUCAUGGCUGCUACCAACUACCUCCCCACCCAGGUGUCAGACAUGAUGCAUCAGGACAGGGCUUUUGCCACCGCACGCUUGAACUUCUCCGGACAGAGGAACAUCUGUACCCUCUCAACGAUCCAGAAGUUGCCACGGCUGCUAGUUGCGUCAUCCAGUGGACACCUUUAUAUGUACAA
rnacentral:sRNA from 1 species